AUCGUGACAUUCAGGUUACGUCAUUCCAGUUUGAACAUUGAACAUGGAACAAACGGAGCAGUCAACGGGUCUGGUGUCCUUCUCAGAAUUGGAAGUGGAAGAUGAGUUCAAAUGCAGACACCAUGACUUAUCUGUGUGGAUCUCUCUCCUCCUGAGUGCGGCGCCUGGAUUUUCUGCACCCUCAUCUGCAGCCUUAUCAGAUCUCAGCGCAACCCUGGGACAUAACAUCAUGUGACCCGGUUUAAAUCCCAUCAUUUAAUUUCUUAUUAGGAGGGAAAGCUGCAGGUCACCAUGUGUAAGGUACACGUUGUGUCAGGUCCUGCCUCCGUAUCUGGCUCUGGAUCAGAGCCAAUCUUUCUCACCAUGAUUAAACCCAACAUCUCACGGA